rnacentral:rRNA from 1 species
AGCAGCCGCGGUAAUUCCAGCUCCAAUAGCGUAUAUUAAAGUUGUUGCAGUUAAAAAGCUCGUAGUUGAAUUUCGGGAUCAGUUCGUCGGUCGUGCCUUUGGUAUGUACUGGUGUUACUGGUUCCUCCCUUCUGACGAACCGUCAUGUCAUUAAUUUGGUGUGGCGGGAAAUCAGGACUGUUACUUUGAAAAAUUAGAGUGUUUAAAGCAGGCUCGCGCUUGAAUACAUUAGCAUGGAAUAAUGAAAUAGGACGUUCGAUCCUAUUUUGUUGGUUUCUAGGAUUGACGUAAUGAUUAAUAGGGAUAGUUGGGGCAUCAGUAUUCAAUUGUCAGAGGUGAAAUUCUUGGAUUUAUUGAAGACUAACUACUGCGAAAGCAUUUGCCAAGGAUGUUUUCAUU